rnacentral:rRNA from 1 species
GGAUAAUCGGGAGAAAUCCCGUCUAAUACCGCGUAAUGCCGCGGGGCUGCAUGGCCCUGCGGCCAAAGGAAGCGAUCCGGCAACGGAUGGGCAUGCGUGACAUUAGCUAGUUGGCGGGGCAACGGCCCACCAAGGCGACGAUGUCUAGGGGUUCUGAGAGGAAGGUCCCCCACACUGGUACUGAAACACGGACCAGACUCCUACGGGAGGCAGCAGUGAGGAAUAUUGGUCAAUGGGCGCGAGCCUGAACCAGCCAAGUCGCGUGAGGGAUGACGGCCCUACGGGUUGUAAACCUCUUUUGUCGGGGAGCAAAUUCCGCCACGUGUGGCGGAGUCGAGAGUACCCGAAGAAAAAGCAUCGGCUAACUCCGUGCCAGCAGCCGCGGUAAUACGGAGGAUGCGAGCGUUAUCCGGAUUUAUUGGGUUUAAAGGGUGCGUAGGCGGACUGUCAAGUCAGCGGUAAAAUACGGGGGCUCAACCUCCGCCCGCCGUUGAAACUGACGGUCUUGAGUGGGCGAGAAGUAUGCGGAAUGCGUGGUGUAGCGGUGAAAUGCAUAGAUAUCACGCAGAACUCCGAUUGCGAAGGCAGCAUACCGGCGCCCAACUGACGCUGAAGCACGAAAGCGUGGGUAUCGAACAGGAUUAGAUACCCUGGUAGUCCACGCAGUAAACG